rnacentral:rRNA from 1 species
GCCUAACACAUGCAAGUCGAGCGGUAACAUAUCUAGCUUGCUAGAUGAUGACGAGCGGCGGACGGGUGAGUAAUACUUGGGGAUCUGCCUGAUGGCGGGGGACAACCACUGGAAACGGUGGCUAAUACCGCAUAAUAUGUCAACUAGGUGUUCGUGUCAUUAAGACGUGAGUAACGCAGCUAACGCACUAAGUUGACCGCCUGGGGAGUACGGCCGCAAGGUUAAAACUCAAAUGAAUUGACGGGGGCCCGCACAAGCGGUGGAGCAUGUGGUUUAAUUCGAUGCCACGCGAAGAACCUUACCAUCCCUUGACAUCCAGAGAAUUUCCCAGAGAUGGGAAAGUGCCUUCGGGAACUUUGAGACAGGUGCUGCAUGGCUGUCGUCAGCUCGUGUUGUGAGAUGUUGGGUUAAGUCCCGCAACGAGCGCAACCCUUAUCCUUAGUUGCCAGCACAUAAUGGUGGGAACUCUAGGGAGACUGCCGGUGAUAAACCGGAGGAAGGUGGGGACGACGUCAAGUCAUCAUGGCCCUUACGGGAUGGGCUACACACGUGCUACAAUGGCGCGCACAAAGGGCAGCAAGCCAGCGAUGGCAAGCGAAUCUCAAAAAGCGCGUCGUAGUCCGGAUUGGAGUCUGCAACUCGACUCCAUGAAGUCGGAAUCGCUAGUAAUCGUGGAUCAGAAUGCCACGGUGAAUACGUUCCCGGGCCUUGUACACACCGCCCGUCACACCAUGGGAGUGGGCUGCACCAGAAGUAGAUAGCUUAACCCUCGGGAGAGCGUUUACCACGGUGUGGUUC